rnacentral:rRNA from 1 species
CCUACGGGAGGCAGGAGUGAGGAAGAUUGGUCAAUGGCCGGAAGGCUGAACCAGCCAAGCCGCGGGAAGGACGAAGGUGCCAAGCAUUGUAAACUUCUUUUGUCAAGGGACAAAAUCAGGCGCGAGAGCCUGACCGAGGGUACUUGAAGAAAAAGCAUCGGCUAACUCCGUGCCAGCAGCCGCGGUAAUACGGAGGAUGCGAGCGUUAUCCGGAUUGAUUGGGUGUAAAGGGUGCGUAGGCGGACUGUUAAGUCAGCGGUAAAAGCCCGGGGCUCACCCCCGGCGCGCCGGUGAAACUGGCUGUCUUGAGCUGUCGAGAGGUAUGCGGAAUGCGCCGUGUAGCGGU